GAUUUGUCUAGUCCAGGAUUCCGGCUCUGAUGGGAGAAAAUACCAGGUACUAAAGGACCUAAUCAUAAGAACCAAUGGCUGGAAACUGAAGCCAGACAAAUUCUUAUGAGACAUAAGGCGCACAUUUUUAACAGCAAAGAUGAUUAAGCAUUAAAACAAACUGCUAAGAAUCUUCAGCGAAACCUAACCUGAGCUCUGAACAAAGAGAGACAUCCCUCCCAAG